UAGGGAAUCUUCCACAAUGGACGCAAGUCUGAUGGAGCAACGCCGCGUGAGUGAAGAAGGUUUUCGGACCGUAAAGCUCUGUUGUUGGUGAAGAAGGAUAGAGGUAGUAACUGGCCUUUAUUUGACGGNAAUCAACCAGAAAGUCACGGCUAACUACGUGCCAGCAGCCGCGGUAAUACGUAGGUGGCAAGCGUUGUCCGGAUUUAUUGGGCGUAAAGCGAGCGCAGGCGGAAGAAUAAGUCUGAUGUGAAAGCCCUCGGCUUAACCGAGGAAUUGCAUCGGAAACUGUUUUUCUUGAGUGCAGAAGAGGAGAGUAGAACUCCAUGUGUAGCGGUGGAAUGCGUAGAUAUAUGGAAGAAUACCAGUGGCGAAGGCGGCUCUCUGGUCUGCAACUGACGCUGAGGCUCGAAAGCAUGGGUAGCGAACAGGAUUAGAUACCCUGGUAGUCCAUGCCGUAAACGAUGAGUGCUAAGUGUUGGGAGGCUUCCGCCUCUCAGUGCUGCAGCUAACGCAUUAAGCACUCCGCCUGGGGGAGUACGACCGCAAGGUUGAAAC
rnacentral:rRNA from 1 species